UACACACCGCCCGUCACACCAUGGGUAGUUGGUUUCACCCGAAGGUGGUGCGCUAACCCGCAAGGGAGGCAGCCAACCACGGUGGGAUCAGCGACUGGGGUG
rnacentral:rRNA from 1 species